CAGCCGCCGCGGUAAUACGUAGGUGGCAAGCGUUGUCCGGAAUUAUUGGGCGUAAAGGGCUCGCAGGCGGUUUCUUAAGUCUGAUGUGAAAGCCCCCGGCUCAACCGGGGAGGGUCAUUGGAAACUGGGAAACUUGAGUGCAGAAGAGGAGAGUGGAAUUCCACGUGUAGCGGUGAAAUGCGUAGAGAUGUGGAGGAACACCAGUGGCGAAGGCGACUCUCUGGUCUGUAACUGACGCUGAGGAGCGAAAGCGUGGGGAGCGAACAGGAUUAGAUACCCCAGUAGUCCUGUCUCUUAUACA
rnacentral:rRNA from 1 species